rnacentral:rRNA from 1 species
UGCUUAACACAUGCAAGUCGCACGGAUCUUUCGCGGGAUUAGUGGCGGACGGGUGAGUAACGCGUAGGGAUCUAUCCAUGGGUGGGGGACAACUCCGGGAAACUGGAGCUAAUACCGCAUGAUACCUGAGGGUCAAAGGCGCAAGUCGCCUGUGGAGGAACCUGCGUUCGAUUAGCUAGUUGGUGGGGUAAAGGCCUACCAAGGCGAUGAUCGAUAGCUGGUUUGAGAGGAUGAUCAGCCACACUGGGACUGAGACACGGCCCAGACUCCUACGGGAGGCAGCAGUGGGGAAUAUUGGACAAUGGGCGAAAGCCUGAUCCAGCAAUGCCGCGUGUGUGAAGAAGGUCUUCGGAUUGUAAAGCACUUUCGACGGGGACGAUGAUGACGGUACCCGUAGAAGAAGCCCCGGCUAACUUCGUGCCAGCAGCCGCGGUAAUACGAAGGGGGCUAGCGUUGCUCGGAAUGACUGGGCGUAAAGGGCGCGUAGGCGGUUGAUGCAGUCAGAUGUGAAAUCCCCGGGCUUAACCUGGGAACUGCAUUUGAGACGCAUUGACUAGAGUUCGAGAGAGGGUUGUGGAAUUCCCAGUGUAGAGGUGAAAUUCGUAGAUAUUGGGAAAAACACCGGUGGA